CAGACACCUGCAGACCUGCUUCACCGCCUGUGAAGCGACUCCCCUGCAGGUGGGGAGCCGGGGGCUCGAACCAGCAUCCUUCCACCGGUCAUUGCGCUUUGCACCACUUGCACUCUACCUGCUGCACGACCGCCCGACUCCCACAACUUCUUAUUUUUAAAGAGCUCUCUAUGUUCGUGAGAGAGACCAGGACAUUGCUCAGCUCCAGACUGUGGCAGCACUGGGGAGAGGGUAAGACUCAGAGAUGGAGAGAGAUGAGAGACGACAGCAUCGUUCCACCGCCAGUGACCGCACCUCUGCGUGAUGCUUCCACGUGGUUCGAGCCCCAGCAACACAGAGACCAGAGUGAUGAUCCUUUCUCCAGUCUCUCUCAUCAAUAAGUAAAAUACUGUUUAAAUAAAAUUAAAAUAGGGGGUUGGAUGGUGGCA